CAGCACCCCCGCCCCGCCCGCUGGCUGCUGCGAGCCCCUCCCUUCUUCCUUCCGCGGAGCCGCCUGCAGGCUGGAGCCGCUGAUUGGCCGGCGGUGAGAGUGGCAGGUGCGCCCUGCAGUAGAGGUGGCCUCCGAACCCAGGAAAAGAGGAACAAAGACGGAGGGACUGAGAAGUUUUGAACUCCAUUUAUUCAAAGGGACCCUCAAGUUUUUAGGCUCUACUGGAUUGGAGAUCUUGGUUCCCAAGAAGGAAAACACUUCCACCAGAGGACAACAUAAGCAUUCCACAGGAUCUGACUAUCAUCUAGCCACUUUGGGCUCCUAAUUCCAGUGAUUGGCCUUCUCAUUCCUGGAUCAUCAAGCAAAAUAGAAUUAAUAUGUUAAUAUAUUUUCAAGAUUAACUUGCCCUUAUUAACGUGAAGAACCUGGGCCACUGCUGUAUAGUGGAGGCAGGAAGGAAUAGUCACAAACUUCAUUGAUGCAUCACCUGGUGUUUUGUGACAAGUGAUAAUGGUAUCUUGGCAUUUACAGCAACUAUGUCCUCAUGGAGGUAAAGCAAAUCAAACCUAGAUGAAGGUCUGGCUCACUCUACCAGGCAGGCAACCUUAGAUCAGCUGAGACACUGGUCAAAGAUGAGAGAAAUUUAGAAUUAGUGGUGGGGAGGAGAGAUGCUGACUCUCAGCAAGGCUUUGGGAGCAGCUGUAGCCACCAGGAUAUUCCACAAACCCUCUUAUAGAGAUUGCAGCUGGCCAGCACCUGGAAGGAGACUCAGGGGCAGAUUAGAGUUAAGGGAGAGAAAAGGUGGGUCUGAGGAGUCCUAAGGCUCUAGUGCACCAGCACCCACUCUGAGCAUCACUUAGCACCCUCCUGGCCCCGUGUCCUACUGCAGGCACCUGUCCUACUGCCAGUUCUUGGAGGCUUUGACCAGCUUCCUGCAGGUGCAACUGGGGAGUCCCUUACUCUGGCUAAGGUGUGAGCCUCUCCUUUCCUUUCCUGGAAGUUUCUGACAAGAAAUGCAGGAUGCGGAAUGUGCAGCCUACAAGUGCUUAUGUGAUAGUCAAAGUCCAAGGGCCACUAAAUCCAUGGCAGGUGGAAGCCUGUGGGAAAAGCCUUCUCUUCAUUUCCUGGCUUUGAUGAGGCCUCCCAGAAAGACUGUGGACUCCAGCACAGGUCGGCCAUGGUCAUUGUGAUAACAUAUCCAUACUUCAGCAUUUCCUUUUUCCCUGUUUUCACCACCUUGUUCAUUAUUCCUACUCUAUGGGUCACAUUCCCAGAUAAAUUCCCUGUGAGGAGGCCUUUUUGGGAGGAAUUCAUGUCAAGACAGUAGUCUUAUUAACUAAGUUGAAGUAAUGAAUUCAAAUAAUUCAGAUCUUAAUAUACAAUUUUGCUUCCUUAUUCAUAUGUACAGGAUUUAGGAAAAAUGAUGGUUUUGUAAAUUAAAAUAAUUGUUUCAACUUAGCCAAACUUUAUUCAAUUUCCAUUUGAAAGCUAGUAGUUGCAGGAGUAGGUUGUUAUAUCAAUAAAAUGUUCAUUUUACUGUAUGUAAUGUGCACACAUACACUUUGAGAUUUAUACACUGUGAAUAAGAGGGAAUUCUUAUGCUUUGAAUUAGUAUGAAAUUGUCCAACACUCUAUAUUGUUGAAUAAUUAAUACCGUUACAUUCUCAAGGUAAAUAAAUAUGAAAAGAAGGGAAAUGAUCUUCAGUAACAAGGUAAAUGGAAUUUGUGGCAUUAUUUCUGUUGAUAUUUGUAAUGUCAAUUUACAUUUCCAACAUCAGAGGUCAUGAAAGAUAAAUGGUGAAAAGAAAAUUUGAGCUUUGUUGAAAAACUGAAGUUUGAAAUCUGAACUGUAACAUUCUUAGUUUUUUUUUUGUUUUUGUUUUUUUGUUUUGUUUUGUUUUUUUACAAAGGAAGAGCCACAGUCUACUUAAUUUUAUAUGUAAAGGAAGAAAAAUAAUUUUUAAUAAUAAACUUAACUGAUAGAUUACAAAAA